UGGGUAUUCUACAUAUAGAGAGGUCACGGACUAUUAGGACGCUCAUGCAUAUUUUAUAAAGACCUUGGGUGGUACACAGAUGUUGUCACAGGCCAGUGCACAUGUGAAAUUGUGACUCCCCUAGGCAUACCCAGCCAAUCAUUAAGAUUUUCACCCUCAAUGCAUGCAUACAGCCCACUCUUGAGGUUCUCAAUCUCACACCUGGUAGCAGUCAAAAUUUGGAAUUGUGACUCUCAUAUGGGGAUUUGAUUGACAGGUUCAAGCAGUUCUCCUGCCUCAGCUCUUGGACAAAACUUCAGCACUCCUGCUAGGGUGUGUCUGCCCUACUAAGACACUGUGCGCAGGUGGAGUUGAGGCUCUUAUGUAUGGAUCCUGUCCACUGUUGAGAUUGUGAAUUGCAUGUGUAGACUCAACUCACAGGAGGUGUUGACUCACAAACCUCCAGCUGGGACAUGUGCAGGAUUAGAAAUUUUAUUUCUGGAUCUUUCUUCAGAAGGCGUUGUAACAUCUCACUAAGCCCAGCACUCAGGCGAUGUGGCUUUCCUGCUAUGGCACUGCACACAAGAAGAAUGUUGACAUAUUCCUGGCCCAGAAUUCAGGUGGAGAUGGAGCUCUCAUGCACGGAUCCUGUCCGAUGUUAAGACUGUGUCUCGUGUAUUUGGAUGCAACUCACAAGAGGUGUUGACUCUCAGACCUAAAGCUGGGAAAUAUGUAGAAUUGUGAAAUUUAUUCCUGGUCCUUCCCGCAGGUGUGAUUGUGGCGUAUAUGUUCACACAGCACUUAAUUUAUUUUACAAUUUGUUUGAACUCAGCCAACUGUUGGGACUGUGACAUAUACCUGGACCAAGUUCCUAGGUGAUGUAACUCUCCAGCCUGGGCCUUACCACAGGGUACAUUGUGACAUAUCUUUGGACUUAUCACCUAUGUGAUGUGACUCUACUGACUUGCCUUGUCUUGGCCUCCAUUGGGGAUUGUGGCAUAUUUCUGUGCCCAGUACCUAAGUUAUGUGACUCUUCUUUCCUGCUUGUGCAUUUAGAAGGGAUUGUGACAUAUUGCUGGGCCAAGAACCUAGGUGAUGUGACUCUCCUGCCUUGGCCCUGCCUUCAGGAAAAAUUGUGAUGUGACUCUGGGUUUAUUACCUAGAUGAUGUGACUCUUGUGUUCUGCAUGGGCAAGCCCAAAGGGGUCAUUGUGGCAUAUCUCUGGGCACAUCAAAGAAGUGGUGUAAUUUUUCUCUCAUUCCAGGACUCUAGUCUCAGUAGGGAUUGUGACAUAUCACUGGGCCCAUAACCUAUGUCAUGUGAUUCUAGUAUCCUGCUUGGGCCCUGCUUACAGGAAAGAUUGUGACAUUUGGCUGGGCCCAUCACCUAGUUAAUGUGACUCUCCUUUUCUUCCUGUGCCCUGCCCUCAGUGGAGAUUGUGACAAAUUUCUGGGCCAAUCAGCUGUGCAAUAUGACUCUGCUCUUUCCUGGGCCCUGCUAUCGGGGAGCAUUGUGACAUAUUGCCAGGCUCAGCACCUAGGUAAUGUGACUCUUCUUGCUGCCUGGGCCCUACUUACAGAAGGGAUUUUGAUGUAUUGCUGAACCAAGAAUUCAGAUGAUGUGACUCUCCUGCCUGUGCGCUGUCUACAGUGGGCAUUGUGACAUAUCAUUGGUGAUGUGACUCUCCUGCCUUGUUCCUGCCCACAGGUGAAAUUGUGGCAUAUACCUGGGUCCAGAUCACAGGCACAAUGAUGACUCUCUUACCUGGACACAGCCAGUGGGAAAUAUUUUGACUUUUGUAGCCAGGCUUAGGGCCACAGGUGGUUUGGUGACUCUCAAACCAUGAUUCAGCAGACCUGUGAGGCUGUGAGUUCCCUAUCAGAACACAAUCUGCAGGUUGUAUUGUGCCAUAUACCUGGGACCAAAUUACAAGCACAAUGAUGAAUCUUUUACCUGGAGUCAAGACAUGGGCAGGAUGAUGGAACUUAUCACUGGACCUUUCCACAGUGUUAUUGUGACAUAUGCCUUUGCCCAACAUGUGGUGAUUUGACUCCCCAGACUGGGUCCAGUUCACAAAUAAAAUUGUGCCGUAUACUUGGCCAAGAACCUAA
rnacentral:lncRNA from 1 species